UCUGGAGCCUUCUGCGCAGGCGCCGCGGGCUGAAGCGCUUUUUCCUUCACUUCCGGCUGGGGCUCACGUCAUUUGACGUUACGGGCCAGAGAGGGUGCUGGGAGGGUCACUCCUUUCGCUGAGGCUAGCGGGCGCCAUUUUGGAGUUGGGCAGGAAGAGGCACCGAGAGUGGAAAGCGGGGCCAGCCAUUUUUAGUUAGGUUUUCUCAUCUGUGAAGUGGAGAUACUAGCGGUCGUUGUGCAAGGUUGUUUUAAGACUGAAGGAAGUGAGUUUUCCGUAGCACGUGGCGCAGUUCCUGACAGAGUAAGUCCUCGGGGAGCUGCUGUUGUUUACCUCUCCAGUCACCCUCGUCAUGGCUCUAACAUCCUAAGGCUGCUCUGCUCCUUCCGUUCUGACCCCAUUUCCUGAGGAUCUCAUUCCCCGAGGAGCUGGGCCUGACAUCUCAGACAGAGGCUGAGGAAAGGAGUAGAAGAUGGCCCAAGUCCUUGGGCCCCUGCACCCACAUGGGAGACCCAGAGGAAGCUCCUGGCUUCAGAUCAGCACAGCUCCGGCCAUUGUGGCCACCUGGGGAGUGAACCAGCGGAUGGAAGACUUCUGUCUGUCUGUCUGUCUCUCUCUCUGCCUCUUCUCUCUCUGUGUAAC